GAACAGAAACCACGUUGUAACCUGUUUGUCCUUCUCAAAACUGACACUUCUGUUGUUAACUGUUCUAAUUUUUUUUUGUCUAUGUAUUUUAAAAUCUUUUGUUUGGUCACUGGCUGAAUAAUAGUCACUCUCUCUGCUUCUCUCUUGCAUAGGUAAAAAUCAAGACAAUAGUGUCCCUUGCCUUUAAAAAAAAAAAAAAGAAGCAUUUGAGGGUCACACGCUUGUUUUCAUACAUUCAGAUGUGUCCUCCGACAUGUAAAUCCCUUUGUCACUCAAGACACACAGAAACCGCCCUUGUCAAGCAGAGAUCAAAUGUGACGAGAAUUUUUGUAUCACCUUUUAUGAAACUAUUGAAAGAACUUACAACCUAAGCUUGGAGCUUGGCUUGGUUCUGUCUGGCAGAGCAGCCCUUGACCUCCAGACAGAGUCCCUUCCUGCUUACAGAAUCCCCAAGACUGGAAAAGUGCUGCUACCAACCUGCCCUUGCUCGCCAACCCUGAUCUUAGAGUUAUCAAAAGCAGAAAACACUAAAGGUACUUCGCUCCCUGUAGAGAAACCUUUGCCAUCAUUGUAGCAAGUGCUGGAAUGUCCCUUUUCCUAUGCAACUUUUUUUAACCCUUUAAUGAACUUAUCUGUUGAGUACAUCGAAGAAUAUUUUUCUUCCUAGAUUUUGUUGUUUAAAUUAUGGGGCCUAACCUGCAACUUAUUUUUUGUCAAUUUUUUAAACUUUUUUUUAAUUACUGUAAAGAAAAUGAAUUUUUUUCCUGCAGCAGGAAACAUAGUUUUGAGUAGUUCUACCUCUUACCUGUAGCUGCCAGGCUUUCUGUAAAAAUUGUAUUGUAUAUAAUGUGAUUUUUACACACAUGCGUGCACGUGAGCACGUACACACACACACACACACACACACACACACACACACACACACACCAAUCUAGGGUAAGCCAGAAGGCUAGAACAAAUUAAAAGAAAAACAAAACACCAUGCUUCUAAGAAUCUGUUGGGUUGUUGGGUUGUUCCCCUCUCCCCUUUUUUCAAAAUAAAUGUAGCUGUUUUGUGAAGGAAUCUGGGGAGCAGAGAGAAAUGUGUGCAGGGGGAAUAACUUCUGCUGUGGUAAUGACUGUGCUGGGAACAGAUGCUGGCAUGUUACAUGUCGACAUCCUAUGCAGUAUUGUUAGGGAUUUCCUCAUUUUAAUAAUUUGUGUCUUUGUGUAAGAACUCUGUGUGUGGUUGUUGCACACCUGUGCAAAGCCAGAUAAGUGACAGUAGCCAGAGGGCAAAGCUGUCACGCUCCUUGUGUCCAUUUUCAUAAAAUCCAAAACCACUCAUAAGAACUUUGUCAGGGGCCAAGAAAUGUAUCGUGGACAUUCAGGUGAAGAUAUCUUACUACUCAGACAUCAGUCAGCAUCCCAGAUACAAGAGUCUAGAGCUACAAUACAAAAGCCAUAUGAAUAUUAUCAGCUCUGUGGUGUUACACAUCUGUAACAUGGUAUAGGAAUGCACAUAGAUCUGCAAGGAAAGUUUAAAGUGUUCAUUUACAUGCCCUCAUAGGAUAGGAUUAUUAGACCACAUGUAUGUGUGUGUAUCUGUGUGCUUCAAUAGACCGAGUUGAAAAUUAGACUUUCCUUAGCCAAAUUGAUGUGGCAUUUGAUUCCAAUAUUUUUAGUAAGCUGCGUUAUAUGCGGAUUAUAUAUUGAGAUAAUAGUUUGGAUGUGGAAUUCAUAUUUUUGGAUUUGUAUAGCAACAGUUGUGAUACACAUUCACUGGGAGAGAUUGCUGGGAGCAUUGGAGAAGCAGAAGGGAACCACCUACUAUGACUGGGUCUGUGGUUGGCUCUUACAGACUCCCACUUUCUUACAGGAACGAAAAUGUAACCCCGCUCUCCUGAAAUCUUGAUCAGAGUUGUAUUAUCCUGCUAGAUGUUACUUCCAUGGCAUUUGUUCAUCUUGAAACUUUAGAUUUUAGAGUAUUUAGGCAUGAACGACCCCAAGGGUUUUUUGUUGUUGUUAUUGAAGUCAUAGCAGCAAAUUACAUGUCAUUUGUUACCAUCUCAAAUGAUACAUUUUUACAUUGCAUUUGUUCUGAGGGUUAUCCUGAAAAUGGUUGUUGUGCAUUUUCUGGUUUUCUAUUAAACCGUGUAAGGAAUCUUACCUUUUUAGGGAUAAACACAUCAGUAAAAUGUUAAAAGCAUGCAUUGUAAAUGCAGUCCAAUCUUGAUGUUGAAUCAAAGACACUUGGUUUACUUUUAUAAAAUCUCUGGAUAUAUAUAAUAUAUAUAAAUAAUUUUUAAUUAUGAAUCAAGUCUAUAUAGGGACUCAUGACCCUCCUCUUACUUUUCAGAGAGCUCCUGGAGUUAGUCACGUCAGUCCUUGAGUAGAUCCUGAAGUUAUCUCACCCCAUGUAUGGUCCCUAGUCUGUGACUGGGGUGGAUGUUAGUAUUCAUGGACUGAACAUAGAGCCAUACCUGACAUUUGCUUGAGGAGUAGGUAACAACGAGUGUUCUCAUUACCACCUGAGUUCCCACACUAACAAGCAGAACUCCAAAUCUCCAUGGAUGCCCCGCAGUAUCUGAAUCUGGCUGAAUUUGCUCAUUGGCCGAUAACUAAGCAGAUUUCAUGGUGGUUUGUUUCUAUGCAAACUGGACACAAAUACAGCAAUGAAUUCUUUAUAAUGCCUUUCUACCCUUCCUCCCUGGAUGUGAAUUUGGAGAUAAGUGUUUCUUGAAGCAAAGACUCAGAGUUGUUGGCCAGGAGUACUGUGGUAGUGCAAACUGGCUGGGAGAGAGAUGUGCAGGCUGAGCCUGCUUGUCGAAGCAUCAAGGCCUCCAGUUUGCCGAGAUGCUGAGAUGCUGGUCCUGUCCUACUGUGUGCAGAAACUACUAAUGGUUUUGUAUAUCAGAGGCGGUAUUGUUUCAGCCUCUCCUGAUAAAGCCGUGGGGUGGGGCUGGGAAGUACUCUUUUGAGAAGACACAAACCAGACCUUCCUUCUUGUCCCCCACCUAAGAGAAAGGGCUGUCUGUUGUCAGUAAUCUGGCUUAUGUGCAUUUUGGGCACAUGUAACAACACACACAGAGUAAAUCCUUUGUCAGUCACGUGUUGCUGUUUAAUAUAGCAAAUGAUUGUCUUCCAUGUUUUUGUUUCUUUUAUUUUAACUGUGUUGAAGUACUUGAAAUGUAUUGACUGCUGAGAAUCUUU
rnacentral:lncRNA from 1 species